rnacentral:rRNA from 1 species
CUCCUUUGACGUUAGCGGCGGACGGGUGAGUAACACGUGGGUAACCUACCUAUAAGACUGGGAUAACUUCGGGAAACCGGAGCUAAUACCGGAUAAUAUUUCGAACCGCAUGGUUCGAUAGUGAAAGGUGGUUUUGCUAUCACUUAUAGAUGGACCCGCGCCGUACUAGCUAGUUGGUAAGGUAACGGCUUACCAAGGCGACGAUACGUAGCCGACCUGAGAGGGUGAUCGGCCACACUGGAACUGAGACACGGUACAGACUCCUACGGGAGGCAGCAGGG